rnacentral:rRNA from 1 species
GUUGUAUAGUCAAGUAAUUAAGUGCAUGUGGUGGAUGCCUUGGCAGUCAGAGGCGAUGAAAGACGUGAUAGCCUGCGAAAAGCUCCGGGGAGGCGGCAAAUAUCCUUUGAUCCGGAGAUGUCUGAAUGGGGGAACCCACCUACUUUAAGGUAGGUAUUGCAACAUGAAUACAUAGUGUUGCAAGGCGAACGAGGGGAAGUGAAACAUCUCAGUACCCUUAGGAAAAGAAAUCAAUUGAGAUUCCCUCAGUAGCGGCGAGCGAACGGGGAUCAGCCCAUUAAGUUAUGUGUGUUUUAGUGGAACGCUCUGGGAAGUGCGAACGUAGAGGGUGAUAUUCCCGUACACGAAAGGGCACACAUAAUGAUGACGAGUAGGGCGAGGCACGUGAAACCUUGUCUGAAUAUGGGGGGACCAUCCUCCAAGGCUAAAUACUCCUGACUGACCGAUAGUGAACCAGUACCGUGAGGGAAAGGCGAAAAGAACCCCUGUGAGGGGAGUGAAAUAGAUCCUGAAACCGCAUGCAUACAAGCAGUGGGAGCACCUUCGUGGUGUGACUGCGUACCUUUUGUAUAAUGGGUCAGCGACUUAUAUUCAGUAGCGAGGUUAACCGUAUAGGGGAGCCGUAGAGAAAUCGAGUCUUAAUAGGGCGUUUAGUUGCUGGGUAUAGACCCGAAACCAGGCGAUCUAUCCAUGAGCAGGUUGAAGGUUGGGUAACACUAACUGGAGGACCGAACCCACUGUCGUUGAAAAGCC